UAAAACUUCCCAAUAAACAGAAAACAUUGUUUGAAGCCACGGAAGCUGCAUAUCCACCGGCACGGCAACUAAUGUGCUUUGCUUUUCCAGUCUUGCCCUGAAAGUGUCUUUAGAGGCUUUAGAUGUUGCAUCUUGCUGUUUCCUGACCUGAGAACUGUCCAGAAGAAUAUGAGACCAGAUCUUGGCCACUCCGUAAACUCAGUUGGCUCAGACAUUGCACGAAAGUGAAGAAAAGUGUGCCACCAAGAAAUGUCAUCAACAGCCACCACCACAACCACAAGUUAAAUGUCUGGUGAGUGUUGAUUUUCUUUCUACUUAUCCAUGACUGUUCUUCAGACUCUGAAUGGUCCGUAUUUCCUUAUUUUCUUACUCUGAUGCACUGGAAUUGAGAGAGGGCAUUUAAAAACAUUUUCAUGUAGAUCAUCAGUUGUUUUUUGGGGUUUAAAUCACUGGCUAGCACGUAUCACUGAUGGUCCUUGUCUGACUAACAGGUGUGUAU
rnacentral:lncRNA from 1 species